AUGACACGAGGCAGAGGCCAGCCCUGUGACUUCUCCACCUUGCCGUGGAUACUCCCUCAGCUUCUCUGACUUCUGGGCAAAGCCUCUGCAGGACGUGCCACCAAGUUCAAGCUCCCGCUUCAGACAAGAAGAUGAAAGCCAUACAAAGACUACUCAACCCAACCAUCUCCCACAGUGACAUAAGGAUCUCUACAUACAGUGUGAAAAAAAUAAGAGAAGAAAUGGAAGCCUAGAGGCAAGAUGACAGAAGAAACUGUAGUGUUAAUCCAGAUAAGACAUUGAAGAGCUAAACCAGGAUUUUGGUAAGACAGAUGGAGAGAUGUGAAUGGAUCUGAAUGCUACCAAGAAGGUCAAAUUCAACGGUGCUUACAGGCAUACCUUGGAAACAUUGCAGAUUUAGUUCUAGAACACCACAGUAAAGCAAAUAUUGCAAGAAAAUGAAUCACAUGAAUUUUGGGUUUCCCAGCGCACAUAAAAGUUAUGUUUACACUAUACUAUAGUCUAAGUGUGUAAUAGCAUUAUGUAUUUUAAAAGUACAUGCCUUAAUUAAAAAAUAUUUUAUUGCUAAAAAUGCUAUCAUCUGAGCCUUCAAUUAGUUAUAAUCAUUUUGCUGAUGGAGGGUCUUGCCUCAAUGUUGAUGGUUGCUGACUGAUCAGGGUAGUGUUUGUUGAUGGUUGGGGUGGCUGUGGCAAUUUCUUAAAAUAAGACAACAAUAAAGUUUGCCACAUCAAUCAAUUUUUCCUUUCAUAAAUAAUUUGUCUGUAGGAUGCAAUGCUGUUUGGUAGCAUUUUACACACAGUAGAAUUUCUUUAAAAUUGGAGUCAAUCUUCUCAAGCCCUGCCAUUUCCACAGCAGCUACAAUUACUUCCUCCACAGAAGUCUUGAACCCCUCCAAGUCAUCCAAGAGGGUUGGAAUCAACUAUUUCCAAAGUCCUGUUAAUGAUGAUAUCUUGACCUCCUUCCAUGAAUUAAUUACAAUUGUUCUUAAUAUCAUCUAGUUUGGUGAAUCCUUUCCAGAAGGUUUUUAAUUUAUCUUGUCAAGAUCCAUCAGAGGAAUCACUAUCUAUGGCAGUUAGAGUCUUCUGAAAUGUAUUUCUUAAAUAAUAAGACUUGAAAGUAAAAAUUACUCCUUUAUCCAGGGGAUGCAGAAUGAAUGUUGGGUUAGUGGUCAUGAAAGUAACAUUAAUCUCCCUGUACAUCUCUAUCAGAGCUCUUGCAUUGCUAGGCGCAUUGUCAAUGAGCAGUAACAUUUUGAAAGAAAUUUUUUUUUC
rnacentral:lncRNA from 10 species